UACGAAGGGUGCAAGCGUUAAUCGGAAUUACUGGGCGUAAAGGGUGCGUAGGCGGUUCGUUAAGUCUGUCGUGAAAUCCCCGGGCUCAACCUGGGAAUGGCGGUGGAUACUGGGCAGCUAGAGUGUGUCAGAGGAUGGUGGAAUUCCCGGUGUAGCGGUGAAAUGCGUAGAGAUCGGGAGGAACAUCAGUGGCGAAGGCGGCCAUCUGGGACAACACUGACGCUGAAGCACGAAAUCGUGGGGAGCAAACAGG
rnacentral:rRNA from 1 species